AGGGAAGAGGGAAGAGGGAGGAAGCCCCUGGGAGGGAGCCAGGAUUCAGGGUUUCCAGGCACAGGCUGAACUCUGGCACUGAGAGAAAAGGCACUCUAGGGUUUGGGAGUGGACCACUUGAACUUGACCCUCAGAGCAGAUAUCCUAGAGUUCCAAGGAAGAAGGGCCAAACUGUGCCAAGAGCCACCUCCAGAACGCUGGUGCGGCGACACGGAGCAUGAAGGGUCCUUCCUCUGCCCGGCCCUGUUCUUGGGGAAAAAACGGGUUCCUGUUGGAACCUGGACUGCCCGGGAGGCUGGUGGUGGGUGGGGCAGAAGGAAUGCAGCCCUGGCUCUCAGCCCGGAGGCUUUUGAUCUGCCUGAGGCAGUCUUGGGGGGUGUACCUGGCUGGGCAGGGAGCUGUGACCAAGGGCUUGGUGGCUGAAUUCUGAAUUUGGUGUGGUAAACUC